rnacentral:rRNA from 1 species
UACGUAGGGGGCAAGCGUUGUCCGGAUUUAUUGGGCGUAAAGAGCGUGUAGGCGGCCAGGUAGGUCCGUUGUGAAACCUGGAGGCUCAACCUCCAGCGGUCGAUGGAAACCAUCUGGCUAGAGUCCGGAAGAGGAGAGUGGAAUUCCUGGUGUAGCGGUGAAGUGCGCAGAUAUCAGGAAGAACACCCGUGGCGAAGGCGGCUCUCUGGGACGGUACUGACGCUGAGACGCGAAAGCGUGGGGAGCGAACAGG